CCUCUCCCCGACCCAUGCGGCCCCGCCUUCCUCUCCCCAACCCAGAUCCCCCUGUCCGUCGUUCCCCGCCGACGGCCUCCCCCCAAGCGCCGCUGCUCUUACCUGCAACGACCUGAGCAGGAGCAGCAACAACUUCCUCCUCCGCUUCCCCUGGUGGUCUGGCCGCGCGCCGCUUCUCAGAUCGAGCGAGAGGUGAGGCAGCGCCGAAUCCAGUUCGUGCGUCGGAUCCAGACCGAGCCGCCGGAACGAGGCCAAGGCCAUGGUGCUGGAAGAAACCCGGCCAUGGAACGGACAGCAGGCACGCCAUGGAGGAGAGGACCCAUGGAGGGGAUGACGCCAUGCACGUGAGGACGCCAUGGAGAACGCAGCUCCACCACCACCCCGACGCCAUCUCCAAGCCCCCUCCCGAUACAUCUCCUGCGAGUUUGAUGGAGGGUCAAGGACCGCACGCACAGUGGAGUAUCCAGAACGCCCAGGCCAGCCACCAUGUGAGG